rnacentral:rRNA from 1 species
AUGGUCGGGCGAGCGGCGGCGCCAAAGCGGAGGGCCGGCAAUGGGCGGACGAAGAUCGCCAUCCGGCGGAUCGAGAAGAAGGGCGCCCGACAGGUAUGCUUCGCCAAGCGCCGGCAGGGCCUGUUUAACAAGGCCAACGAGCUGGCGGUGAUGUGCGGCGCCCAGGUGGCCGCCAUCACCUUCUCGGACGGCGGAAAGGCCUUCUCCUUUGGGCACCCCUCCGCCGAGGCCGUCGUCGACCGCUUCCUGGCGGGGGGAGGCGCGUUGGUCCAGGGCGCCGCCGCCGACGACGACGAGCUGAAGAAGCUGCACCAGCUGCACGGCGAGCUGCGCACGCGGUUGAAGGAGGUGAAGGCGCGGAAAGGGCGCGUGGUGGAGGCCAUGGCAAAGGAGCGCGCCGCGGGGGAUCAAUUUGCGGUGUGGCUCGACCCCGAGUUGGGCGACAUUGGGGAGGAGGAGCUGAUGGCCUUCGCCGCCGAGCUGAUGGUGGCGCGGGCCGCCGUCUCGGACCGCGCAUACCAGGUGCUCUUGGAGGCGCAGAACGUCAGCCGCAUGCUGCAGGCGCCCCCGCCGCCACAGCAGCAGCUCUUCGGUUGUAGCACCUUUGAGUUUGGUGGCAGCAGCAGUGGCAACGCCGGGAUGGGGAUGCAACAGAUGCAGAUGGUGAUGCCUUCGACGCAGGGGUUCGCCGUCGGGAUGCAUAUGCACCAGAUGUCAAUGGCAAUGCCUCCGCCGCCGGGCUUGGCCUACGGGGUGGAUUUGCAGCAGAUGCAUAUGUCGGUUCCUCCAUCGCCCGUUUUUGGCGCCGGGACGGAGAUGCAGCGGAUGAUUAUGGCGAUGCAGCCGCAACCAGUGUUCGCCGCCGACACGGAGAUGCAGCAGGCGGCUAUGGCGAUGCCGCCGCCGCCGGAGUUUCCUGUUGGGAUGGCGAUGCCUCCGCCGCCGGGGGUCGCCGCCGGGAUGAAGAUGGUGCAGCAGGGCCCGGGAUGA